rnacentral:rRNA from 1 species
GAUGAACGCUAGCGGCAGGCCUAAUACAUGCAAGUCAAACGGUGUAGCAAUACACAGUGGCGCACGGGUGCGUAACACGUAUGCAACCUACCUAUCAUUGGGGGAUAGCCUUUGGAAACGGAGAUUAAUACCGCAUAAGACAGUAACAUGGCAUCAUGUAGCUGUUAAAGCUUCGGCGAUGAUAGAUGGGCAUGCGUCCAAUUAGUUAGUUGGUGAGGUAACGGCUCACCAAGACGAUGAUUGGUAGGGGAUCUGAGAGGAUAAUCCCCCACACUGGCACUGAGAUACGGGCCAGACUCCUACGGGAGGCAGCAGUAGGGAAUAUUGGGCAAUGGACGGAAGUCUGACCCAGCCAUGCCGCGUGCAGGAUGAAGGCGUUAUGCGUUGUAAACUGCUUUUUUAUAGGAAGAAGGAGACCUUGCGAGGUUUGGUGACGGUACUAUAAGAAUAAGCACCGGCUAACUCCGUGCCAGCAGCCGCAGUAACAC